rnacentral:ncRNA from 1 species
UCAGAACUGGCUUGACAACAUGUAGUUUAGAGAGGAACCACAGGUUCAGACAUUUGGUGUAUGUGCUUGGCUGAGGAGCCAAUGGGGCAAAGCUACCAUCUGUGGGAUUGUGACUGAAUGCCUCUAAAUCAGAAUCCCGCCCAGGUGAAUGAUAUGUUGUUGCUAUAGUAAUCCCACUUCUGACACCAGUUAAUGCCAAAUACAAUGGAGUCAGAAUCAGAUUGAUAACAGGUAGUUUAUUAAAGGGAUAGUACUCCUACAAGGACCAGUGACCAGGUUUACACUGGAGCCGGAAUGACCCGCAGAUGUCUGGUCUGCCAGGCAGGAGAUAGAAAAGAGAGCUGAGUACAUGUGUGCGUGCGUGCCUCUCUGCUACUUAAACCCUUGCUUUGUCACUC